rnacentral:lncRNA from 1 species
CAUCCUCAAAUUUUUUUACUUUUUAAUGUUGCUAUUACAAUAAUAGAAUCGAGUUAGAAUACACUUAGAAGCACCAAUUUUUUGGUGCUUUUAGAUUUCUAACCUUUAAAUCUACUCUUUGACUACUAAUAGCCUUUGGAUCAAACACUAUUUCACCUACCACCAUUUAUCACGAUCAUCCUACUCCUACAUCACUCCAUCUGAGAACUAUAAAUCUAAAAGCACCAACCCUUUAGUAUUUUUAAGCGAAUUCUAGCUUAACUCUAUAAUAAUAUAUACA